CCCGGCCAGGGCGAGGGCUCCCGGGUUCCCCGCCCGGCGGGGACGGGUCCGGGGGCCGUCUCCCGGGUUCCCCGCCCGGAGGCGGAC
rnacentral:tRNA from 1 species